GGGGUUGUAGCUCAGUGGUAGAACGCUUGCCUUGCACGCAUGAAGCCCUGGGUUCGGACCCCAGCACCA
rfam:Ictidomys tridecemlineatus contig056569, whole genome shotgun sequence.